rnacentral:lncRNA from 1 species
GGUGGGGUGGGCAGUACUCCGCCCGCACCUGCCACCCCGAGCCUCCAGGGAGGAGUCGAGAGGCAGCCGGUGGCUCAGACAUCUCAGGCUGGGCUAGUGUCACGUUGUCAGCACGUCACGGUUUCUUGUGAGGAACCACUCUAGCUCUUUCUGGAAGGGGCGUGCGGGGGGUGGGGGGUGGGGGUGUUCUUGAGUUCCCUCCCCCUACCAGAAAGCUCCUCGCUCAGUGUCUGCUCAGGUCGCACUCCCCACUCACCCUGGCUGCUCCUGAGCUCCCAGGAAGGUGUGGUCUUGUGGUGCAGCUCUCUCUCACACAGGCCACCUUGGAGAGGAAGGGUGGAGAGGAGUCCGGGAUGAGGCCCUACUUACUCUGCUAGGUGCCACUGGGAUCAGAGUCCCCCUAGUCUGCUCUGCCUGGAUACUAAGAAAAGUUGAGAAGGAAGCGUAUGCCUCCAGCAAGAUGGGCGGAGUCAGCAGAGAUGCUGACCACUGAGUCCGAGAGCAGCUACCAACUUCCUGACUUCAGAGGCCAGGCUGGAGCCCAAGAAGGCUUUGUGGACCUGUGGCUGUGCUCAUCACGUGAGCCACGUGUAGUCUCUGAUGGCGAUGCCAGCAGCUUGGCCCUGCCUUCGUUUUGGAGGCUGGGGGUGUGGGCCAGCUUAGCAGGACCAGUGCGGCUCCGGCUCCGAGGCAGAGGGCCAGUUUGCCCUCUCUGGUCAGACCCUAACAACAGCAUCCCAUGUCACCAGGGCUUGGGAACUACCUUGGCUGGGGUGUACUGGCCUGCUCUGCUAAUGUGCUUUGGGUCUUUAUUUCCUCUUUGAGUGUGUUUCUUGAAAGGCAAACUCUUUGGUAUAAAAAAACCCCAACAGUUUAUGGUUUUUAGAAUGUUGACUUGAAAUAAAUCAGAUAUUGGUGACAUGAGCUGCAGAUAGUUAUGUAAAGCUGUGAAAGAGCCACAGAUAAUGUACUCUAACUGCAAUACUAAUUAUUGUCCUGUACAAAGCAGCCACCGGUCCGGUAAGAGUCAUCUCUCUGAGUGGUAUCAGUUCCCCAGGAGAUAAGCAUUAUAAAAAUGAUUAAAAGAAUUUCGUAUGAUUUUUACCAUUAAAAUAAAAUCUCAGCAAACCAACAUCCUAAUCUUAUGCUGUUAUUUAUUUUUCCCACUGCUUUAUCUAUUUAUUCGCAUUACAAAGGUAAUACACAUUAAUGGUAAAAAUAGAGAUGGAAAUCAUUCUGAAGGGUGUAAAAUGAAAAGUCCCCUCUCAUUACCCAUUCUUAUUCCCCUGAGAUGAUUGAAGUUAAUGGUUUCUUGUGACCCAGAAAUUUUUUGUUAAACGUGUGUAUGUGUACAGCCAAUCUAAUAUUUUUCCACAAAUUGUUUAGUCCUACAUUUUUUUUUCACGUAAAUAUAUAUAUGUUGACAUACAGGCCUAUCUCAUUUUUAAUGAUCAUCUAGCUCUGGUGUUUCAUUGAAUAUUGCAUAUAAUAUUCCCAAAUUGUGUUGCUUCCA